rnacentral:lncRNA from 1 species
UUUCUUAAAUAUAAAAUUAGUCAAUUUACAACUAUAAAUGCAAUUUUCUUUAUAAAGAUAAUGUUUUAACUGGCUUACAUUUUAUGUUUUUCAGACUUGCAUCAUUUAUAUUUUUAAUUCAUCGAGGAUGAGAAAAUUGAUUAACACAAAAUCUUUUCAUGUCUUUUCUGAUGAGAGACUAGCUGAAUCCAAGAAGAGAAGCCCUUGAAGAGUGUAUUCUAUUCUAGACAAGCAUUCACACAUUGGCUUCUUUGGUGCCAGGUAAUUAGAAUUUGUAAUUUGGUCUUAAUUAAACUGCAGACUACCCAAAGGCCUUGAUCAGUGGCCUUUUGACUGCCUCCACCGUUUGGAGGAAACAAACAAAACACAAAUUAGCCUUUAAAAAUAUGCCCAUUGAUUUCUCCUCAUCUCCCCAAACAUAUACAACCCCACCAGAUAUAUAUUUAUAUUGGCUAUAAAAAUAUGCCCAUUGAUUUCUCCUCAUCUCCCCAAACAUAUACAACCCCACCAGAUAUAUAUUUAUAUUGGGUAUAAUGUCAACAUAUAUCAAAUGUGCCAAUUAAACACAGAGCUCCUCUAAACUACCAAGCAUGUUAUUAUUAUUAUUUUAAUUUUUAAAACAUUUCUAACUUAACAGAAACAUUGGCCGGGCAGCACUAAUUGUAUCAUUCCUAUGUACUACCAACUUCUCACCAGUAUUGAACUUGAUCUUCAAAACUCUUCCCAGAUAGGGCUAUUUUUCCACUGACUCUAUUGUUAUUCCUUCCCAUUUUCCCUCCUCUGUUUUUGAUGCUUUUUAUUUUGGUUAGCAUGUUUCUGAUCAGCAUGAAAACUGCGCAGGAGCUUUUCUGUCUUGCAGAGCUAGUUAAUGAGAUUGUUGCUGCCUUCAGAUUCUAUAAAGGACUUCUCCAAUAUUGGGUGAGAUUAAAGUCAAAAUCAAGAGAAUUUAUAUUUCAGUUGAAUCUAUGUAAGUCUGUUAAAAAAGUAAUGGGCUCAGGGUCAAACAUCAGUAAUUGACCCUCACUCUACAGAUUAUUAAUUGUAUGACUGUAUUUCUCAGUAUCCUCAUCUAUAAAACCAGGUUAGCAAAAACUGCCUUCCUACUUCAAAAGGCACAAAUAAAAACUAAACUAAAAGCCAUACAAAACAAAGUGGAUAGCUCAUUUGCUUUACUUGGAAUGACAAUUCAACAUAGUAUUUUAAAUUCCUGUCUUUUAAAACAGUGAUUUCACACAUAUUGGCUCAUUAAAUUCUUCGUAUUAUCAAGAGUUGCUUAAUACAUUUGAGAACACAAAACAAUGGCCUUUUCUGUGCCUUUUUUAGGUGGUAAUUAUUCUUUAGUAAAGUCGGGUUGUUUUAAUUGAAAAUGAAUUUAGUAAAGCUUUAUGAGUUAUAUAAAUGCAUAAUUAUAUUUGCAUAGGUAAACAAUACAUUUUUUUUCUAUUUUUGCUAAGUAAUAAGUUAGUUAAUAUAUUAUGUAAGAAUGAAAAUGAUUCAAAUAUUUGCCUGUUUCUAAUCUUAGAUUAAAGAAUGAAGAAAGGAUCAAAUUGAGACAUCCAGGGGGGAAGAGUUCCCUGGCAAAACUCCAAUCUGCCUGAGCACUGAGGUGGAGCCACAGAAGUCCGGGUCAUUUGCACCUGGGAGGAGCCUGGCCCCUCCUCUUCCUGUGUGGAAUCUGGGAUUUAAUCUGUGAGGAGGGAAGGCCAAGGGCAGGAAGCACAGGCUCUCACUUCACUAAGAGUCUCUGUUUCCCCUUUUUUUCCUUUAUGCCUAAUUAAUAAAUCCCAUUUUUCUCACUCUUCAAAUAGUCUUCAAGCCUAAAUUUUCAUGACCAUGGAACAAGGACCCCAUCUUUAGCUGAACUAAGGAAAAGUCCUGCAACAAAAUUCUUUGCUAAAAAUACAUGAGGUUGCCUUUUCCUUCUUAAUCUUAAAAGAAAUAUAUUUCAAUGGUUAACGUUUUAGUAAUUCAAAAAUUAUCAAGCAUUUGUUCACAACCAUAAGAUGUGCAUUGUUUUAUAUUCCUACUUAAUAAUAGACUAUAAUUGUCUAAUUAGACUGCCGAUGUUGAUCUUUGUGGCUCAUUGCAUUGAUUAUAAGCAGUGUUUUGGGUUUGUGUGUGUGUGUCAAAUUUAGGGUUUUUUUGGUAUGGCUGCUGGUUGGUGUAGCCUGUAUCCAGUAUCCUGUAUUAAUUCUAAUAUUUGCAUUUUGAACAUAUUUACAAGUUGCUAAAAUAGCAAAGCUUCGAGAUGAGCCUGGCUGAUAUGGCAAAACCCCGUCUCUACUAAAAAUACAAAAAUUAGCCUGGUGUGGUGGUGCAUGCCUGUAAUCCCAGCUACUUGGAAGUCUGAGGCAGGAGAAUCUCUUGAACCCAGAAGGUGGAGGUUGCAGUGGGCCAAGAUCGCACCACUGCACUCCAGCCUCGGUGAUAGAGCGAGACUACGUCUCAAAAAUAAAAUAAAAUAAAAUAAAAUAAAAAUAGCAAAG